GUCAGAAAUGAGAGCAGGAACCCUGAACAAGCUCGAUUCCGUCUGAUCUCGGAAGCUAAGCAGGGUCGGGUCUGAUUAGUACUCGGAUGAGAAGACCAGGUGCUGUAGGCG
rnacentral:rRNA from 1 species